UACGUAGGGGGCAAGCGUUGUCCGGAUUUAUUGGGCGUAAAGAGCGUGUAGGCGGCCAGGUAGGUCCGUUGUGAAAACUCGAGGCUCAACCUCGAGACGUCGAUGGAAACCAUCUGGCUAGAGUCCGGAAGAGGAGAGUGGAAUUCCUGGUGUAGCGGUGAAAUGCGCAGAUAUCAGGAAGAACACCCGUGGCGAAGGCGGCUCUCUGGGACGGUACUGACGCUGAAUAGCGAAAGCGUGGGUAGCGAACAGG
rnacentral:rRNA from 1 species